rnacentral:rRNA from 1 species
UACGUAGGGGGCAAGCGUUAUCCGGAUUUACUGGGUGUAAAGGGAGCGUAGACGGCGGUGCAAGCCAGAUGUGAAAGCCCGGGGCUCAACCCCGGGACUGCAUUUGGAACUGUGCUGCUAGAGUGUCGAAGAGGCAGGCGGAAUUCCUAGUGUAGCGGUGAAAUGCGUAGAUAUUAGGAGGAACACCAGUGGCGAAGGCGGCCUGCUGGACGAUGACUGACGUUGAGGCUCGAAAGCGUGGGGAGCAAACAGG